CCAUGAGUUACUUAAGAGGAGGAAACGGAUGAGAAAGAAAAAAGUGUUACCCAUUACCACAGAGGAAGUAUCCACCCGUCCAGCAGAGGGCGAUGUGCUGGGGAAAACAGAUGCUGCACAUCCCAGUGAUGAAGGGGACACUGGAAGCUCAGUCAGCACAGAGCGGCUCAGCAAGAACAGAAAGAGGAAAAAACGUCACAAAGAAAAAGUCCUCACUCUUGGAUUGGUGCCUCGAGCAAGAGCUGUUGAUUUCAAGUAUGCAUAGAGCAGAGAUGGAAAUUCAGAGGAGGUGCUCGACUUCCUUCGUACCACACAGGAGAUCUACCUCUCUGAUCGCAAAUCCUCUGGCUCCUGUGUAGAAAGCGGCUCCACUCUUUCCCUCACUGCAGCGGAGGCUCUGUUCUCUCAUCUCUCAGGCAGGACACUGCCCCCUGCUGAGAUCUGGAGGCUGUGUGGACUCAGGGCUGUACUAAUGAAGAAUAAAGAGCAGUUAAAAUUAAAGCUGCAAGAACUCAGAGAUACAAGCACAUUACCUGCAGAUGGGGUUUCAGUAGUCUGCAGUCUUAUUGAGUA